rnacentral:rRNA from 1 species
GUGAGGAAUAUUGCGCAAUGGAGGCAACUCUGACGCAGCCAUGCCGCGUGCAGGAAGAAGGCGCUACGCGUUGUAAACUGCUUUUAACCGGGAAGAAACCCCAGGACGUGUCCUGGGUUGACGGUACCGGAGGAAUAAGCACCGGCUAACUUCGUGCCAGCAGCCGCGGUAAUACGAAGGGUGCAAGCGUUAUCCGGAUUCAUUGGGUUUAAAGGGUGCGUAGGCGGAGCGUUAAGUCAGUGGUGAAAUCCUGCAGCUUAACUGUAGACUUGCCAUUGAUACUGGCGCUCUUGAGUGCGCUUGAAGUGGGCGGAAUGUGCCGUGUAGCGGUGAAAUGCUUAGAUAUGGCACAGAACACCAAUUGCGAAGGCAGCUCACUAAGGCGAUACUGACGCUGAGGCACGAAAGCGUGGGGAUCGAACAGGAUUAGAAACCCGAGUAGCC